CAGUCUUGAUUGAACGAGCGUGAAUCUGUUGGCCUUCUCUAAUCCCUUGAAUCAGAGCCAAUGCCUUGAGAACAAGAGGUAUUGUGAAUCCAUCUGGUUCGAGGCCGACGACAAGCAUUUCGUUCAAGAACUCCAUGGGCGAGAGAUUGAUGGAGUUGCGAGAAAUGCUGCGGAUGAUAGCGUUGCAGAGACUGAGACAGAAUUGAGCAUCAUGGGAGUGAGUAAGAAGGAUGGAGCGAAUGUAGAAAAGGUCAGGGGAGGAGGAGGAGGAGGAGGAGGAGAGAAAGAUGAGCUUGGGAAUGAGAUUGGGGAGAGAGAGAGAGGGUGUUUUAAUGGCGACGCCAUGGAUUUGCUUGAGGUGAGAUAUGGAUUUGCAGGAAUUGAGGGAGUGAGAAAAAAGAUGGAGUUGCAGGGAAUUCAUACACAGAUAUGGAUAUGGCUGUUGUAACGUUGUUGGAUGUGAAUGGUUCCUACUAUUUUGAUCUAUUACUAGAAGAACAAAAGCAACUCAGAAUUUGUUUUGGAGACGUUUCAUCAAACACUUUAGGAGCAAAAACCAAAUAACCAUCCAUCUAAGUAAAAUCUCCUAUGCCACAUCUCUUCACACCAACAACAUGCCGUAGCAGCAGAAAUUCAAACCCCAUUCAAAGGAACACAAAAAAUGCAGAGAAAACAUCUUUAAGAAUUAACCUCAAAUUUUCUUAGAAACCAAAUAUAUCCAAGUCUUUCCCAUCUCGAGGAGCAAAAAAGAAGUGUGAAGUCUGUCAGACCGCCUUGUGGCCAUCCCAGCAGGUUGGAAGCCUGCCAAGAACGAUCCUCCACAGCCGCCAGACCGAGAUCUGUCGAACCGUUAA